ensembl:lncRNA
GAAAUCCUCAGGAUCAAACCUUCCACGCCUCCUGCUGCGAGCAUGAUGUCAUCAUGUUUACCUUUUGUUUGACUUUCACACAAACAUUCAGAGGAACAAAGGUUAAAAUCUCAGCUAGUCCUUCAUCCGAGAGCUUCCAGCUGCUCAUCAGAUCCAUGCGACACAGCAGACCUGCAGCGGGAGCACGCCUCUUUAUUUUCCAGGCCGCUGACGCUCCCUGAGUCACUGAGGACGAGGAAGGAGAGGAAGAGCGGUGCAGAGACAGACAGGCUCGAGGCGCGUCGGCAGCUCUGCAGCUCCACGUUUGUUCCUGAACAUGUUCUCCUGUCACGUUUGGUUCCUGCUCUCAGGUCUGAUCGGCUGCACGGGAAACUCCACAGCAGCGAUCUGGUUUUCGGUCCCUGAGAAUCACCACGUCUGUCUGCCGUGCGGCAGCUCUGGCAGCUCAGACGUGAUCUGGACUCGGCAGGAUCAGGAGGUCCUGGUGACCCGACGGGGCGGCUACAAGACCAACAAGGACUGCCGGCGCUACCGCCUCAUGGUUAAUGGCGACCUCUGCGUCCAGCAUCUGAAGGAGUCGGAUCAUGGAAGAUACCGCUGUAACCAGCAGCUGGUGGCUGAGCUGCAGGUGCUGACAGGUCGGGACUACACGGUGUCCGCGGGCCGGACGCUGCUGCUCCCCUGCAGCGGCUCCUCCAAACCCAAACAGAGGUGGUUCCAGCAGAGGGAGGGCGAGAGGCGGGAGGCCGUCCUCACCAAGUACAGAAACGGUACGGUGAAACCAGAAAGGGGCGGCGGCCGGCUGAGCUUCACCAACGACGCCCUGCAGAUCCAGGACCUGCAGCCAGAGGACGCUGGAGAGUACGUCUGCAACGGGCUGCUGCAGGCCAGAGUCACGGUCCUCGCAGCACACGCAGAGACGAGCAGCCAGCCUCCGUCCACCAGCACACCUCCAUCACCUGCAGUGGUGACAGCCGUUCUGCUGCUGGUUGCUGUCGUCAGCGUGGGGUUGAUGAUCAUCUUCUUAGCUGCUGUCUGUGUGUUGCUGACCAGCAUGAAGUGCAGGAGGAGGAAACGCAGAGCUGCAGCACCGACACGUGAAGACACAGAGCUGCAGCCGUGGACGGCGUCCAGCGCACCGACAGAGGGUGAGGACUUAGAGACCCCGCCCCUCUGUGGGGAGACGAUCCACUACGCCUCUCUGGGCCGACAGAACUGGAGAGAGAGACCCAGCAGGAGUCCGCCGGAGCAGAGCCACCACAGCGUCAUCUACUCCUCUGUCGUCAGCAGACCUGCAGCGAGAGCUGAGCACAAACUCUGAAAGUCUGAGUGUACGGUCGUGUGACGGGAAGCUUAGUUUCACCUGUGACACAAGCUGUUAAAAUCCUGUCAGUCAGUUUGGUUUCAUGUUUCACUCUCUGCUUCAGCAGCACAGCUGCUUUCACUGAGUCUUUACAUGUUACAGCGAGGACUCGUUCACAGGCGUCCACAUGUGGAGCGUCACAUCUGGAGCGGCGGCCAUCAGGACAGAUCGUGGUGUCAGAAUCAGUUUAUUAGUAACAGACAAAGUGUGGAACCUGUUCAUGGAAGCAGCACAGCAAACAUAUUUACAGCAGCAAUAUUCAGACACAGACAUAAAGAUUUGAAACUGACCCGAGGGAACUAUUCACACACAUGGGUAAAAAAGGAUUUUCUUUAGUUUAGUAAUUAUCUGCUGUGGCAGAUUUACAUUCAUGGCUGUUACUUUAUUAACAGAAAUGUUUUACAAACAUUUUGCUUUCAUUGCAACUUUCUGGAUAUUUAACAUUUUAAGUUUUUCUGCUCACUGAAAAAUAAAUCUUAUCUGUUUACACAAACAAAUAAACUAAAAUCUAGAUUUUGAAAUCUAAUCACAUAUUUUCACAGUUUUAUUAAUUUAAAAAAUUCAUUUACGCUCAUUUAAAGUGCUUCUAUCUGUGGUCAUGUGAUGCCUUUGAGUUCUUGCACAUGUUCACUGUUGAGUACAGGACCUUCUCUUCAGCCAAUCCGGUUCCUCUCCUGGUGGUGGGGCGGGGCUUGUCUGGAUGCUUCAGGCUGGAAUAAUGCAAAGACUCUUCCUGCAGAGACACAAAGAGUAAAAGAUCUGAUUAAACUGCAGGUCAUCAUGCUGCAGGUUCUCUACAUCUGGCUUCCCUGCACUGCGUGGUGCUCAGCACAGGCCUGUGAAUCCUCUGAAUCUCAGCGUUCAGCUGUGCUGAAGAUAAAAGCUGCCAAAUAUUUAUGUUCAUGUUUCAGUGAAAGCACCUUUUCAGAUUUUACUGGCAAAACAUAAAGAAACGAGGGUUGGUUCAAGACUUUUGCACAGUGCUGUGCUGCAUGUGGAGCUUGUUUUUAGAAGCAGUAAUAAAACAGAACCUGUUUGAAAC